AACGUAGCGUAGCUUCCCUCCUCCCCUCCUCUUCCUCCGCUCCGGGGGCCCUCGCCGUCGCCGUCGCCGGCCGGAGUGAAGCGCCGCCCGCGCUCCACGGGGCACGCGAUGGCCGCCGAAGGGGACGAAGAGGGGGCCGCGGCGCCCAAGGUGGUCGGGCUGGCGCUCAGCGGCUCCAAAUCCAGCGCGCACGUCCUCCGGUGGGCGCUCGGCAACUUCGCCCACGACGACGCCCCUCCCGCCGCCUUCAAGCUCAUCCACGUCCUCACCCCGGUCCUGGCCGUGCCCACGCCAAUGGGGCACCUCCUCCCGAUUGACGAAGUCAGCACCAGCGUCGCCGAAGGCGAGCUCGAGAAGAUGUGGAUCCAGAAGCAGGAAAUGCUGCAGCGCUGCAAAGACGCAUGUGACGAAAACAAGGUUGAAGCUCAAGUACUGCUUGUUGAGGGCAAAGAUGUCGCGGAUACCAUUUCCAGUCUUGUUUCUCAGUACCAGAUACAUAGCCUCGUUGUCGGUAACCCUCCCAGCAAGAGCCCAUUCACUAGGAGGUCCAGUGCAAGUAGGACGGCCUGCAAAAUUUGCAAGAGUCUCCCCAGCUUUUGCACAGCAUAUGUUGUUUCAAAGGAUGGAUUGUCUUCAGUUCAUGUUCCUGAAUCAGAAAGUGGCUCGCCCUCUGGCUCUCCAGUACCAACAGGCAACUCUGGGAGCUCCAGCACCAAAGAAGUUACAGAUGGAACGUCCUCAAGAUCAGAUUUGGAUGGCAGUUCAGCGCCGGGCCUGCCUAGUUUUACUCUGAACGAUUAUCUCACUGGAAAUGCACCAGUAUAUGCCAACAAGGACAGAAGAAUUGCCUCACGCACUGGUGCUGAAAGCUCUAUAUUAAGUCAAUUGCGGGGUUCGGACAAGGUGCCAACAAGUUCACUGCAGGAAUUAAUGCUUUCAGACAACAAGGAUGAUGUCAGUACAGGGCUUGAAAAGCUGAACCUUGAACCGAGUCAUAAUAGGCUGCUGGCAACGGCAUCCAAGGACGCUGAUAGGGAGUCGAGGCUGGAGAAGCCCCUUGUACUUCCAAGCGACUCGUACUCAAUGUUCACCUGGGAAGAGAUUGAUAAUGCUACAGCAUCGUUCUCACUCAAGAUCGGAACUGGGUCUAAUGGAACGGUAUACAAGGGCCAUCUCAAUCACUUGGAUGUAGCGAUAAAGGUCCUUCAUUCUGAUGACAAAUCCAGUACCAAGCAUUUCAACCAAGAGCUUGAGGUUCUGAGCAAGAUACGCCACCCACACUUGCUGAUGCUCCUGGGAGCCUGUCCAGACAGGGGCUGCUUGGUGUACGAGUACAUGGAGAACGGCAGCCUUGCGGAUCGUCUGCAGCGCAGAAAGGGCACACCGCCGAUCCCAUGGUUUGAUCGCUUCCGCAUUGCCUGGGAAAUUGGGUCAGCCCUGGUGUUCCUGCACAGCACAAAGCCCAGCCCAAUCAUCCACCGUGACCUGAAGCCUGAGAACGUCCUCCUCGACCGCAACCUAGUGAGCAAGAUUGGCGACGUGGGCCUGUCGACCCUGAUGCCACCCAAGGAGACUCUGUCGAACCGCACGGUGUACAAGAAGACGGGCCUGGCGGGCACACUGUUCUACCUGGACCCGGAGUACCAGAGGACCGGGCAGGUGUCGGUGAAGUCGGACACGUACGCGCUUGGCAUGGUGAUCCUUGAGCUGCUGACGGCAAGGUGCCCGAUCGGACUGCCUGAGGUGGUGGAGCGAGCAGUGGAAGACGGCCAGAUUAGUGAUGUCUUGGAUGAGAGCGCGGGGGACUGGCCCGUGAGGGAAGCGCAUGACCUUGCUCAGCUAGGCCUAAAUUGUUUGGAGAUGCGGAGCAAGGACCGGCCUGACCUCAACAGCGUGGUGCUGGAGGAGCUGGGACGGCUGAAGCGCAUCGCGGCCAGCGUGUCGGGGGUGGCGCUGCCAGGGUCACCCAGUCACUUCAAGUGCCCAAUACUCAAGACGGUGAUGUAUGACCCAUGCAUCGCGUCGGACGGGUACACGUACGAGCGCAGCGCGAUGGAGAUGUGGCUGUGCGACAAGGACGUGUCGCCGGUGACCAAGGCGCGGCUGCGUGACAAGACGCUGUUGCCUAACCUGUCUCUCAAGAGCGCCAUCAUGAGGUGGGUGGCCGAUGGGGGGAGGCCUGUGAAGGAGUAAGGCGCUCCAAUGGUAAAUACAUACUAGGAAGCUAGUCUAACAGAAGAGAGUGCUGCACAUAUCAUGGGGGCUUGGUUGGGUUAGGAGAGAAGGCUGAUGGUAUUGGUAUUGGUAUUGGUAUUGGUACAGAGAGUAGCCUGCACAUAUCAUGGGGACUUGGUGUCUGCAUAACGUGAAGGAGCAAUUUUGCAACGAUACUAUCAUACUAGAGUAGAUGUGUCGCUGCCCGUUAUAAGGCAAAGGAGUGGCCCAUGCUAUACUGGCCAAGAGAUGUGAUUUGAAGAUCAGCUAGCUGUAUGUUCCUUCUGUGGUGCUUGUUGAAAUUAUAGAAACAAGAUGAAUGAAAUGCAGGCGAGGGGAACAGGUUGAUCAAUGGAGCAACUUACCACAUCUUGCUCAGGGGCUGCAGUUUCCGCUGUAGAUCCAUCGUCUCCACGCUGGAGUACUGCUUGCCCCUCUUCGGCUCCUACGACAACCUCCUUCCAGCCGUCAAGAGUGGCUCCAUUCUCUCCUCCGACCUCGAGAGGGUGGUCAAGCCCAAUGCCGCCUUCCUACGCGAGUGCGGGCUAGGUGCCUGUGAUAUUGCCAGGCUCUGCAUACCUAGGCCAUCGCUGCUCAGCAUCAGCAUGGACCGCAUCCGGACAGCAGUGGCGUGCGUCGAAGGUCUUGGUGUACCCCGUGGAUCUCGGAUGUUCAAGCAUGCGCUACAAGCUGUUGCAUUCCUCAGCAAGGACAAAAUCACCGCCAAUGUAGAGCACUUGAAGAAAAUGUUCAGGUGGUCGGAUGCCGAGGUGGGCAUUGCUGUUUCUAAGGCUCCAAAGCUCCUGUCAAGGACCAAGGAAUUUCUGCACUUUAGGUCCGAGUUCCUCAUCUCCGAGGUGGGCUUGGAACCGGCAUACAUUGUUUAUCGUCCAGCAAUGCUCAUGUACAGCUUGGAGGGCAGGCUCAGACCCCGAUACUACGUUGUAAAGUUUCUCAAGGAAAAUGGAUUGCUAAGUCGCAAUCGGGAUUACUAUUCCGCAGUCAAGAUAACCGAGAAGGAAUUUGUGGAGAAGUUCAUAUGCCCUCACAAGGAAGCUGCACCACACCUUGCUAAAGAUUAUGCGGCAGCCUGCAAAGAUGAAGUGCCGACUAGAUUCAGAUUUACAUGAACCAAGACCAGUCUGAAAAUUCCUAACUGCAUAUGACAGGACAAAAUUUUCAUUCGUUCCUGAUUCAGUGUUGUUGGCCUAACUGAAUGGUGGUUGGCUGCUAUCUAUAAUUUGUAGUAUGUCUGUUACAUGCUCAUUUGGUGGUGCUAUUGAGGAUGAAACUGAUAUUUUUAUCAGGGGAGAUGAAACUGAUAUUUUGGUUUC